rnacentral:rRNA from 1 species
UUGACCUCGGAUAAGGUAGGGAUACCCGCUGAACUUAAGCAUAUCAAUAAGCGGAGGAA